rnacentral:rRNA from 1 species
UACGGAGGAUGCGAGCGUUAUCCGGGUUUAUUGGGUUUAAAGGGUGCGCAGGCGGAUUUUUAAGUCAGCGGUCAAAUCGUGGGGCUCAACCCCAUCCAGCCGUUGAAACUGGGGAUCUAGAGUGUGCGAGAGGUAUGCGGAAUGCGUGGUGUAGCGGUGAAAUGCAUAGAUAUCACGCAGAACCCCGAUUGCGAAGGCAGCAUACCGGUGCACAACUGACGCUCAGGCACGAAAGCGUGGGUAUCGAACAGG